AAUCUACAGGUCGAGCAAGUCUCGUAAAUUUCACGAUUGCGAGCCACGCUUCACGCAACCGUGUUUGCGUACUUGUGUUUCGAGUUGCGUGGUCGUGCGGAGUUGUCAAAAUUAAAUCAAUAUGUCAAUUGUCAAUAUGGCUACUGGGUGUAAAAGAUACAUCUUAUUCUAUCUGUUCUUAAUGAGUUUUAGAUAAUUUUAGUUGUAUUUCUUUGUAAUUUUGUGUUGUACAAAGAUUAAUUUAACAUUUUCUCUGGAAGUAUUAAUUUAGAAAGAUAAUAUGCUUCAUUGGUGUUGUGUUUUGAAGUGUGAAAUGCAAAGUAAUUGUGAUAAAGUUCACUUUUAAACUGAACUAAAUAAGGUAUCUGAGAGACAACAAUGGUUAAAUGCAAUACAAUGUACAGGUUUUACUAGCGAAAUGAAAAUUUUCCUGUCCUGUCUGCUGUAAUCAUUUUAUAUCUGGAAAACCAGCCGACUUAAUCGAUAAUAACAAUCUCCAGAUUGGGUUCCUUCAAUAAAUAUGGGCUAUAAACACAAUGAAAUAAGUUCCCCAAAAUCUAAAAUGGAGUGGUAUCAAAGGAGAAUUAAAGGAAAAAAUAUUCAUAUUGAAAUUAUUUAUAAGGCACUGGACUGUCUUAAAUUCUACAGUAAUACUAGAAUCAGCUGAGAGAAGUGGUCUACAAAAAACCAGGAAGGAAACGGAAUAUGUGGCUACGAAAGGCAAAAGAAAGGUUUACAAAGCAAAUGUGACACAUUUUUUUGAAAUAUUUAGGAAUAUCAGUAAAUUGCAUUAAAAAAAUGUAUGAAAAGAUUUUGUUCAAUAAAAAUGUUUAUAUUUA